rnacentral:rRNA from 1 species
GGGCCCGCACAAGCGGUGGAGCAUGUGGUUUAAUUCGAUGAUACGCGAGGAACCUUACCAGGGCUUAAAUGUAGUGGGACAGGUCUAGAGAUAGACCCUUCUUCGGACUCAUUACAAGGUGCUGCAUGGUUGUCGUCAGCUCGUGCCGUGAGGUGUCAGGUUAAGUCCUAUAACGAGCGCAACCCCUAUCGUUAGUUGCCAGCGAGUAAUGUCGGGAACUCUAACGAAACUGCCAGUGCAAACUGUGAGGAAGGUGGGGAUGACGUCAAAUCAUCACGGCCCUUACGUCCUGGGCUACACACGUGCUACAAUGGCCGGUACAGAGAGCAGCCACUUCGCGAGGGGGAGCCAAUCCGACAAACCUAGUCGUAGUCCGGAUCGGAGUCUGCAACUCGACUCCGUG